AUUGAACGCUGGCGGCAGGCCUAACACAUGCAAGUCGAGCGGAUGAAGGGAGCUUGCUCCUGGAUUCAGCGGCGGACGGGUGAGUAAUGCCUAGGAAUCUGCCUGGUAGUGGGGGAUAACGUCCGGAAACGGGCGCUAAUACCGCAUACGUCCUGAGGGAGAAAGUGGGGGAUCUUCGGACCUCACGCUAUCAGAUGAGCCUAGGUCGGAUUAGCUAGUUGGUGGGGUAAAGGCCUACCAAGGCGACGAUCCGUAACGGGUCUGAGAGGAUGAUCAGUCACACUGGAACUGAGACACGGUCCAGACUCCUACGGGAGGCAGCAGUGGGGAAUCUUGGACAAUGGGCGAAAGCCUGAUCCAGCAAUGCCGCGUGUGUGAAGAAGGUCCUCGGAUUGUAAAGCACUUUAAGUUGGGAGGAAGGGCAGUAAGUUAAUACCUUGCUGUUUUGACGUUACCAACAGAAUAAGCACCGGCUAACUUCGUG
rnacentral:rRNA from 1 species